UACGGAGGGGGCUAGCGUUGUUCGGAAUUACUGGGCGUAAAGCGCACGUAGGCGGCUUUGUAAAGUUAGAGGUGAAAGCCCGGGGCUCAACUCCGGAAUUGCCUUUAAGACUGCAUCGCUAGAAUUGUGGAGAGGUAAGUGGAAUUCCGAGUGUAGAGGUGAAAUUCGUAGAUAUUCGGAAGAACACCAGUGGCGAAGGCGACUUACUGGACACAUAUUGACGCUGAGGUGGCGAAAGCGUGGGGAGCAAACAGG
rnacentral:rRNA from 1 species